GAGUUUGAUCGUGGCUCAGAGUGAACGCUGGCGGCAGGCCUAACACAUGCAAGUCGAGCGGCAGCGCGGGGGCAACCCUGGCGGCGAGCGGCGGACGGGUGAGGAAUGCAUCGGAAUCUACCUCGUUGUGGGGGAUAACCUCGGGAAACCGGGACUAAUACCGCAUACGACCUACGGGUGAAAGUGGGGGACCGCAAGGCCUCACGCGAUGAGAUGAGCCGAUGCCGGAUUAGCUAGUUGGCGGGGUAAAGGCCCACCAAGGCGACGAUCCGUAGCUGGUCUGAGAGGAUGAUCAGCCACACUGGAACUGAGACACGGUCCAGACUCCUACGGGAGGCAGCAGUGGGGAAUAUUGGACAAUGGGCGCAAGCCUGAUCCAGCCAUGCCGCGUGUGUGAAGAAGGCCUUC
rnacentral:rRNA from 1 species